AGUGGCCAUGACCUUUGGGAAAGAAAGGCAGAAAGGUGGAGGUCCAGACCUAGGGGUGAGGCACUACAAACGAUGGCGUCGGUGGCCGAAAAAGAGAGAACAAUGUUCGGUCAAAUAGAAAAAAAUAGGGUUCUUGCUUUUUGUGAAUGUUUCGACAAAUCCGAGGGCUGACAGGGGUGCACGAUGCCAUGGAAAGAAGAGGAAGGAGGGUUAGGGCUUAUUUGAGCAG
rnacentral:lncRNA from 1 species